GGGUUGUGAGGUUAAGCGACUAAGCGUACACGGUGGAUGCCCUGGCAGUCAGAGGCGAUGAAGGGCGUGCUAAUCUGCGAUAAGCGCCGGUAAGGUGAUAUGAACCGUUAUAACCGGCGAUACCCGAAUGGGGAAACCCAGUGUGACUCGUCACACUAUCAUUAACUGAAUCCAUAGGUUAAUGAGGCGAACCGGGGGAACUGAAACAUCUAAGUACCCCGAGGAAAAGAAAUCAACCGAGAUUCCCCCAGUAGCGGCGAGCGAACGGGGAGGAGCCCAGAGCCUGAAUCAGCAUGUGUGUUAGUGGAAGCGUCUGGAAAGGCGCGCGAUACAGGGUGACAGCCCCGUACACAAAAGCGCAUGUGCUGUGAGCUCGAUGAGUAGGGCGGGACACGUGGUAUCCUGUCUGAAUAUGGGGGGACCAUCCUCCAAGGCUAAAUACUCCUGACUGACCGAUAGUGAACCAGUACCGUGAGGGAAAGGCGAAAAGAACCCCGGCGAGGGGAGUGAAAAAGAACCUGAAACCGUGUACGUACAAGCAGUGGGAGCACCCUUUGGGGUGUGACUGCGUACCUUUUGUAUAAUGGGUCAGCGACUUAUAUUCUGUAGCAAGGUUAACCGAAUAGGGGAGCCGGAGGGAAACCGAGUCUUAACCGGGCGUUAAGUUGCAGGGUAUAGACCCGAAACCCGGUGAUCUAGCCAUGGGCAGGUUGAAGGUUGGGUAACACUAACUGGAGGACCGAACCGACUAAUGUUGAAAAAUUAGCGGAUGACCUGUGGCUGGGGGUGAAAGGCCAAUCAAACCGGGAGAUAGCUGGUUCUCCCCGAAAGCUAUUUAGGUAGCGCCUCGUGAAUUCAUCUCCGGGGGUAGAGCACUGUUUCGGCUAGGGGGCCAUCCCGGCUUACCAACCCGAUGCAAACUGCGAAUACCGGAGAAUGUUAUCACGGGAGACACACGGCGGGUGCUAACGUCCGUCGUGAAGAGGGAAACAACCCAGACCGCCAGCUAAGGUCCCAAAGUCAUGGUUAAGUGGGAAACGAUGUGGGAAGGCCCAGACAGCCAGGAUGUUGGCUUAGAAGCAGCCAUCAUUUAAAGAAAGCGUAAUAGCUCACUGGUCGAGUCGGCCUGCGCGGAAGAUGUAACGGGGCUAAACCAUGCACCGAAGCUGCGGCAGCGACGCUGAUGCGUUGUUGGGUAGGGGAGCGUUCUGUAAGCCUGCGAAGGUGGCCUGUGAGGGUUGCUGGAGGUAUCAGAAGUGCGAAUGCUGACAUAAGUAACGAUAAAGCGGGUGAAAAGCCCGCUCGCCGGAAGACCAAGGGUUCCUGUCCAACGUUAAUCGGGGCAGGGUGAGUCGACCCCUAAGGCGAGGCCGAAAGGCGUAGUCGAUGGGAAACGGGUUAAUAUUCCCGUACUUGGUGUUACUGCGAAGGGGGGACGGAGAAGGCUAUGUUGGCCGGGCGACGGUUGUCCCGGUUUAAGCGUGUAGGUGUGUGUUCCAGGUAAAUCCGGUUCACUUUAACACUGAGGCGUGAUGACGAGGCACUACGGUGCUGAAGCAACAAAUGCCCUGCUUCCAGGAAAAGCCUCUAAGCAUCAGGUAACAUCAAAUCGUACCCCAAACCGACACAGGUGGUCAGGUAGAGAAUACCAAGGCGCUUGAGAGAACUCGGGUGAAGGAACUAGGCAAAAUGGUGCCGUAACUUCGGGAGAAGGCACGCUGACACGUAGGUGAAGUGAUUUACUCAUGGAGCUGAAGUCAGUCGAAGAUACCAGCUGGCUGCAACUGUUUAUUAAAAACACAGCACUGUGCAAACACGAAAGUGGACGUAUACGGUGUGACGCCUGCCCGGUGCCGGAAGGUUAAUUGAUGGGGUCAGCGCAAGCGAAGCUCCUGAUCGAAGCCCCGGUAAACGGCGGCCGUAACUAUAACGGUCCUAAGGUAGCGAAAUUCCUUGUCGGGUAAGUUCCGACCUGCACGAAUGGCGUAAUGAUGGCCAGGCUGUCUCCACCCGAGACUCAGUGAAAUUGAACUCGCUGUGAAGAUGCAGUGUACCCGCGGCAAGACGGAAAGACCCCGUGAACCUUUACUAUAGCUUGACACUGAACAUUGAGCCUUGAUGUGUAGGAUAGGUGGGAGGCUUUGAAGUGUGGACGCCAGUCUGCAUGGAGCCGACCUUGAAAUACCACCCUUUAAUGUUUGAUGUUCUAACGUGGACCCGUGAUCCGGGUUGCGGACAGUGUCUGGUGGGUAGUUUGACUGGGGCGGUCUCCUCCUAAAGAGUAACGGAGGAGCACGAAGGUUGGCUAAUCCUGGUCGGACAUCAGGAGGUUAGUGCAAUGGCAUAAGCCAGCUUGACUGCGAGCGUGACGGCGCGAGCAGGUGCGAAAGCAGGUCAUAGUGAUCCGGUGGUUCUGAAUGGAAGGGCCAUCGCUCAACGGAUAAAAGGUACUCCGGGGAUAACAGGCUGAUACCGCCCAAGAGUUCAUAUCGACGGCGGUGUUUGGCACCUCGAUGUCGGCUCAUCACAUCCUGGGGCUGAAGUAGGUCCCAAGGGUAUGGCUGUUCGCCAUUUAAAGUGGUACGCGAGCUGGGUUUAGAACGUCGUGAGACAGUUCGGUCCCUAUCUGCCGUGGGCGCUGGAGAACUGAGGGGGGCUGCUCCUAGUACGAGAGGACCGGAGUGGACGCAUCACUGGUGUUCGGGUUGUCAUGCCAAUGGCACUGCCCGGUAGCUAAAUGCGGAAGAGAUAAGUGCUGAAAGCAUCUAAGCACGAAACUUGCCCCGAGAUGAGUUCUCCCUGAGACUUAAAGUCUCCUGAAGGAACGUUGAAGACGACGACGUUGAUAGGCCGGGUGUGUAAGCGCAGCGAUGCGUUGAGCUAACCGGUACUAAUGAACCGUGAGGCUUAACCUUACAACGCCGAAG
rnacentral:rRNA from 1 species